rnacentral:rRNA from 1 species
AUUGAACGCUGGCGGCAGGCCUAACACAUGCAAGUCGAGCGGCAGCGGGAAAGUAGCUUGCUACUUUUGCCGGCGAGCGGCGGACGGGUGAGUAAUGCCUGGGGAUCUGCCCAGUCGAGAGGGAUAACAGUUGGAAACGACUGCUAAUACCGCAUACGCCCUACGGGGGAAAGGAGGGGACCUUCGGGCCUUUCGCGAUUGGAUGAACCCAGGUGGGAUUAGCUAGUUGGUGGGGUAAUGGCUCACCAAGGCGACGAUCCCUAGCUGGUCUGAGAGGAUGAUCAGCCACACUGGAACUGAGACACGGUCCAGACUCCUACGGGAGGCAGCGGUGGGGAAUAUUGCACAAUGGGGGAAACCCUGAUGCAGCCAUGCCGCGUGUGUGAAGAAGGCCUUCGGGUUGUAAAGCACUUUCAGCGAGGAGGAAAGGUUGGCGCCUAAUACGUGUCAACUGUGACGUUACUCGCAGAAGAAGCACCGGCUAACUCCGUGCCAGCAGCCGCAGUAAAAC